GACGAACCGUGCGAACGUUGUUCGGAAUCACUGGGCAUAAAGGGCGCGUAGGCGGCUUUUCAAGUCAGGGGUGAAAUCCGGCAGCUCAACUGUCGAAGUGCCUUUGAUACUGAGGAGCUCGAGGGAGGUAGGGGUGUGCGGAACUUCCGGUGGAGCGGUGAAAUGCGUUGAUAUCGGAAGGAACGCCGGUGGCGAAAGCGGCGCACUGGACCUCUUCUGACGCUGAGGCGCGAAAGCCAGGGGAGCAAACGGG
rnacentral:rRNA from 1 species